CCUACGGGGGGCUGCAGUGGGGAAUAUUGCACAAUGGAGGAAACCCUGAUGCAGCAACGCCGCGUGAGCGAUGAAGGCCUUCGGGUCGUAAACCUCUGUCAGCAGGGAAGAAUAAUAACGGUACCUAAGGAGGAAGCCACGGCUAACUACGUGCCAGCAGCCGGGGUAAUACGUAGGGGGCGAGCAUUAGCCGUAAUCAAUGGGCGGAAGGAGUGCGUAGGCGGUCCUGUAAUCCGGGAGUUAAAUCCCUCGGCUCAACCGAGGUCAGCUCUUGAAACUGUAGGGCUUGAGUGCAGGAGGGGAGAGCGGAAUUCCUGGUGUAGCGGUGAAAUGCGUAGAUAUUAGGAGGAACACCAGUGGCGAAGGCGGCUCUCUGGACUGCAACUGACGCUGAGGCACGAAAGCGUGGGGAGCGAACAGGAUUAGAUACCCGGGUAGUC
rnacentral:rRNA from 1 species